rnacentral:rRNA from 1 species
GUUUGUGUCCGUGCAUUCUUUACUCAUUACUCCCCUUUUCAGGGCUUUUACACAAGCAGCAUCUGGCCUGAUUAGUACUUCGAUGGGAGACCACCUGGGACUAACAGGUGCUGUUAGCC